rnacentral:misc_RNA from 1 species
GGCCAUUUGAGAGGGAAUAAGUGGGAGAAAAACGAUGGAGAACAAGUGAAAAAAUAAAAAGAAAGUAUAUUAGUAUUCUUCUUGUCAACAUAUGUGACAAAAGCACUAAUAAUUUGUUCAAUUAAGGAUCUAUUGGUUAUAAAAAUAAAAGUACAAAGGUUAAAUAGGUCACAAUAAAAGUUGGAGAUGCCAACAAACUUUUCAAGUAAAUUUCAAGUGUCAAUUUAUGUAUUCAGCCAUGUAAAAACACUUAAAUACAUUAUCUUGACUUGUCCACAAGAUAUCGUUUGCCUAAUUGCAACUACAAGAGGCAUCUGAUAUGGUUAAC